UGGGGAAUAUUGGACAAUGGACCAAGAGUCUGAUCCAGCAAUUCUGUGUGCACGAUGAAGUUUUUCGGAAUGUAAAGUGCUUUCAGUUGGGAAGAAAAAAAUGACGGUACCAACAGAAGAAGUGACGGCUAAAUACGUGCCAGCAGCCGCGGUAAUACGUAUGUCACAAGCGUUAUCCGGAUUUAUUGGGCGUAAAGCGCGUCUAGGUGGUUAUAUAAGUCUGAUGUGAAAAUGCAGGGCUCAACUCUGUAUUGCGUUGGAAACUGUGUAACUAGAGUACUGGAGAGGUAAGCGGAACUACAAGUGUAGAGGUGAAAUUCGUAGAUAUUUGUAGGAAUGCCGAUGGGGAAGCCAGCUUACUGGACAGAUACUGACGCUGAAGCGCGAAAGCGUGGGUAGCAAACAGG
rnacentral:rRNA from 1 species